GAAGAGCCGCCCCACUCCCUCCAUAUCCUCUCCCAAGAUGCUGCUCCACUACGAAACUAUUGUGAAGAGCUUCCCUGCUCCAGUGAAACCAUAACACCGCUCUUCUUCUCCUUUCCCUCAUAUGUGAACCAUUGGAGAACAGAUACAAAAAGACUUUUGCACCUCAAAAACUUGAAAUUAUGGUUCUCAUUCUUUUUUUUUUAGUUCAGGAUUUUAAGAGGUGUUGAUGUCAUGUUCCCUGAAAAAUGUUUCUUGAAGUUUAACCACGAUGGAUGGAGAAGUCAACCCGUCAAUGAAAAUUCAAGUGGAAUCAUCACCACAUUGGAGGCUAGGAAAUCUGUCCAAAGAUGAAUGCGGAGGUUUUUGAGCGAAGAAAUGCAGAAG